rnacentral:rRNA from 1 species
UAGGGAAUAUUAGUAAUGGGCGAAAGCCUGAACUAGCAACACCGCGUGUGCGAAGAAGGCCUUCGGGUCGUAAAGCACUUUUUGGAAGGAAUAGGAAGGAAUGUACUUCCAGAAUAAGUCUCGGCUAACUACGUGCCAGCAGCCGCGGUAACACGUAGGAGGCGAACGUUAUCCGGAUUUGCUGGGCGUAAAGCGCGUGUAGGUGGUUCUGUAAGUAGGGCGUGAAAGCUCCUGGCUCAACUGGGAGAGGCCGUUCUAAACUACAGAACUAGAGGAUGGUAGAGGGAGGUGGAAUUCCGGGUGUAGCGGUGGAAUGCGCAGAUAUCCGGAGGAACACCAGUGGCGAAAGCGGCCUCCUGGACCACUCCUGACACUCAGACGCGAAAGCUAAGGUAGCAAACG